GAGAGUUUGCAAUCCUCCUGCCUCAGCCUCCUGCAUUGCUGGGACUAUAGGUGCACUACUGUACCCAGCUGUUUUCUACUAGAAUAAGCAUUAAUUACUUUUGUAAUUAGAUUUAAAAAAAAUUUUCCCCAACAAUUGUAGAGUGAUAGACUUGGAGAAUUCCAGGAGAGUAUGUUCUGUCUACCCACUUUAUUUUAAGAAGAGAAACUGAGAGGCUAAACAAUGAAAUGACUCACCAAAGUUCCCAAACUGGGUCAGGGGCUUUUUGAUGUCUCCACCAGGGAGUGUUUGGCUAGCAUUGGUGCUUUUCACCCAGAAUGCUACACCUCAGUUAUUUAUUCAAUAAUAAAUUCUCUCAGUCACAGUGAAAGAAAGCUUCCUCCUGUGGGUGACUCUAGUCCACUGGGUUGCUCUGUGCUGCUGAGUCCAGAUUCUGCCACCACUGAGUUGAUGGCGUCUGCCUGAAGUGCAUGGAGGAAGGGAUAAGAUGGAGAAAGUCCUCUUUUCCAGAGGGGUCUUGCUAAGUUGCUGAAGCUGGCUUCAAACUUGUGUUCCUCCUGCUUUCACCUGCCAAGUUUCUGGGAUUACAGAAUGAUCCCCAUCACCACAGCUCACCCUGCGUCCGAACUCUUGCCCUUGCUUCACUUCCCGAGGGUAGCCGUCAAUCAAGAAGCCCUUGGUGUUGCUGAGGCUGGCCACCAUAGCCUCCUUCAGGAGCUCCAGAACGAUGCCCUGGAGCAGGGAGAGAAUGGUCAGACCCGAGAUGAACAGCCCUAGAAUUCCCAGAGUCUCCUUCAGUCGAGGGAGGAAGGUUCAGACAAGAUCAACUGUAGACAGCAACAUCCCAUAUUUUAUCAAUUCCUAGUCUCACUCCCUGUACACAUAUUUUAAUGUCUAUUAAAUGGGUAGGUAUCUUAAAAUCAGUGUGCUGGGUCAUAGCAUAAUGGUUAGCUUUUUUUUUCCCCUUUCUUUUUCUUACUAGUGCAUUCUUACUUUUAUAUUCAACUCGGGGGUCUUAAAACAAUGAUAUCUUAGAGUACAUGAACUAUAGUAGCCCUACUUCAAAUGGCAGCACUCUACGCAUUAGGAAAUCAUGGUAAUU